GCUUUGCGCAACCGGUUAGCGCAUUCGGCUAUUAACCGAAAGGUUGGUGGUUCGUGCCCGCCCGGAGGCU
rnacentral:tRNA from 1 species